AUUGAACGCUGGCGGCAUGCCUUACACAUGCAAGUCGAACGGCAGCGGGGGAGAAGCUUGCUUUUCCUGCCGGCGAGUGGCGAACGGGUGAGUAAUACAUCGGAACGUGCCCUGUAGUGGGGGAUAACUAGUCGAAAGAUUAGCUAAUACCGCAUACGACCUGAGGGUGAAAGUGGGGGACCGCAAGGCCUCAUGCUAUAGGAGCGGCCAAUGUCUGAUUAGCUAGUUGGUGGGGUAAAGGCCUACCAAGGCGACGAUCAGUAGCUGGUCUGAGAGGAGGAUCAGCCACACUGGGACCGAGACACGGCCCAGACUCCUACGGGAGGAAGCAGUGGGGAAUUUUGGACAAUGGGCGAAAGCCUGAUCCAGCAAUGCCGCGUGUGUGAAGAAGGCCUUCGGGUUGUAAAGCACUUUUGUCCGGAAAGAAAUGGCUCUGGUUAAUACCUGGGGUCGAUGACGGUACCGGAAGAAUAAGGACCGGCUAACUACGUGCCAGCCGCCGCGGUAA
rnacentral:rRNA from 1 species